AUUUACUAGGAUUCCAUUUCUUUGGGAAAGGUUGUCUAAUUCUCCCAAAAAGAAGAAAUCUGUCAUUAGAGAGUCCAAGUUAGAGUAAAUAUAUACCUUGUAAGAUUACUUAGACUUAAUAUUUUCUCAAGUCUAGAACUCUGGCAGCCUUUGCUAACUUGCAGCAUUAAGUGCAAAUUUAUGUCUACUGUCAAAACACUUAAUCCAGCCUUCUGCUAUGGUAUAAACAAAUGUACUUGUCAAGUGUGAGUUCUGGAGGCUGGAAAGUCUACAAUCAAAGCACCAGCAGAUCCAUUGUGUGGUAAGAGCCUGCUUCCCGACUAGGGGACAGCUGCCCUCUUGCUAUGUCUUCACAUAGCAGCAGGCUAGUUAUUUAUUUUAAAAUAAAAUCUUUAAAAAAAUAAAUAAAUAUUACAACAAA